AGUGAACGCUGGCGGUAGGCCUAACACAUGCAAGUCGAACGGCAGCACAGUAAGAGCUUGCUCUUACGGGUGGCGAGUGGCGGACGGGUGAGGAAUAGAUCGGAAUCUACUUUUUCGUGGGGGAUAACGUAGGGAAACUUACGCUAAUACCGCAUACGACCUACGGGUGAAAGCAGGGGAUCUUCGGACCUUGCGCGAUUGAAUGAGCCGAUGUCGGAUUAGCUAGUUGGCGGGGUAAAGGCCCACCAAGGCGACGAUCCGUAGCUGGUCUGAGAGGAUGAUCGGCCACACUGGAACUGAGACACGGUCCAGACUCCUACGGGAGGCAGCAGUGGGGAAUAUUGGACAAUGGGCGCAAGCCUGAUCCAGCCAUGCCGCGUGGGUGAAGAAGGCCUUCGGGUUGUAAAGCCCUUUUGUUGGGAAAGAAAAGCAGCAGGUUAAUACCCCGCUGUUCUGACGGUACCCAAAGAAUAAGCACCGGCUAACUUCGUG
rnacentral:rRNA from 1 species